ensembl:lncRNA
AAUAAAUUGAAAAAUGUUCAUUUUAAAGAUUAAGUAAAAAAUUUAACAUCAAACCAGAUUCUUCCAGUAAGUUGGUUAAAAUAAAAAUUUAAUUUAAAAUUUAAAUUAAUUUUAAUUUAAUUUAAAAAAAAAAAAAAAAAAAAAAAGAAAAAAAAAAAGGAUAUGCAUGACAUCUCAGAAAAGAAAACUGAAACAAUUUAUCACCAUAUCUAUAUUAUACAGUCACAUCACCCGGCUCUAAUCUGCACAGUUUCCUCCUGAAUGGAACACAUUUGUUCUGGUGUUUAUUAUAAUUAUUAAUAAUAAUAAUAAAAAUAAUAAUAAUAUCGCAGUAUAUCCUUAUAUAUGUUUCCUAGACAUUAUUCUGAGAUACAGUAAUAUCACAAUGUUAUCUGGGACCUUGAAAUUUAUUGUCAGGAUCCCAGUGUUCCACGAGCUGAACCUUAAAUAAGAACAGCGGCUCCUACAGUAGCUCAUUUGGACACAUUUGAAGUGUUAUAUAUCCUUCAGUAAAGGCACUUAUGUCUCGGAGUCGUGUUCACAAGGGACGGGUGUCUCAUAAAAGUUUAAAAGCUGUGGCAGACAACAGGCACUCUGAAGCAGCACUACAUUUACAAGUGCACGUUAAACUCUCCUAACAGUCGAGCUUGUCAGUUGCUGCCAGGCCGCGUUAUUCGCUCCAUCUUUGCUAGAACAUCUAAUGUGUUUUAUAGCCUAGCUGGGCUUUUAUCAAAGCUGAGAAGCUUGAGCGUGACUACACAUUCAUAAAUGUCUCUCACACACACACACACACACACACACACACACACACACACAAAACAUUCUUGAAGUCAUGAUGUACGUUGCCUCUGAAGUCCUGAAUUAACGUCUGCCGUGUGUCAUGGAAAACACUAUCGCAACUUCAUUGCAUUCCUUUCAUGCCUCCAUUAAUUUACAGCUAGAUUGUUCUGAAAUGAAUUAAAAAGUUACUUUGGGUAUUCUUUAGUUAAACGUCAAAUCUGGAAUUUCUAUAAAGCGUGACAUAUGCGGUUUUCAAAUAAAGGUCGGAAUUCUCAAUCUCCGUCAAGGAAAAAGAACAAACUGAACAAUUCCUACACGGGAACUUGGGGGUAGUCCUCUCAACUGAGUACAGGGAGUGACGUCAAAUCAACAUGGCCGCUCAUGGCAUGAACAGUAAACAAAGCAGCACUUCUCUUUAAAUGAGCUGCACUGUAGAUCAGUCAUACUGAUGUUUUUGCAGAGUUUUUUUUAUUAAAAAAAAAAAAAAACUGAUUUGUUAAAGCCAGAAAUGCUUUAUUUUGCUGGGGCUUUUUUUUUUCCUCAAAAUUUGCUGUAACUUGAAUCACUGAAAUCGCAUUUGCACGAAACUGUUUUGCACACUCUUUCGCAGUGAUGUUUGUUGGUUAACGAGACUUCUAGUUACUAGUUUCUGCGAUCGCAAAAUUGCGAAAGCCUGGAGGGACUGCUAUAUACAGUGGGGGAAAUAAGUAUUGGAUGUGUCAACAUGUUUUUUCAGUAAAUAUAUUUCCAGUGGAAAUUUCACAUGAAAUUUUCACCAGACAUCAAUAUUAACUGGAAACAAAGAAUUCACCACAACUUUUGAAAUACGUCUGUAUCCGAUUCCAUCAGUAUGUUUCACAACAAUAAAGUUGUGAAGGUCUUGGGAGAGCUCUUUGCUUUUACCCAUCAUGAGAUGUUUCUUGUGCGGCACCUUGGUAACGAAACACCUUUUUAUAGACCAUCAAUUUACUAACCCAGCUGAUAUGAAUCUGCACAGAUAACUAACCGUGAUGAGUGAUGUAUAUUUUCCUCCUCAAAACAGCGAACUGUACAGUCAGUGUUAUAGCUUUAACAAGUGAAUAUGUCUAUGUUGAUUGAUCUAAAGUAAAUACUUGUGUAUACACAGUAUAACUUGUUUAAAAGACGCUACUUUGUUUACUGUUGGUGCUGUGAGCGGCCAUGUUGAUUUGACGUCACUUGCUGAACUCAGAGUUAAGGAGACCAUCCAGAGUUUCCGAUUUGAGGGGUGUUUUCUUUGGUUUUUAUUCCUGGUCAGAGGUUAGAAAUUACGUGUUGCGUGACCUUUAGUCGAACGCAGCCUUAUAGACAAGUCGUAUGUACAAGAUUAGAGCAACACACGCAAUUAGACCCAUUACUUCAGGAAAUAUAGGUCUCUUCACAGAUAUCCGACUAGAGUGAACUAUGUUCAGCAAGUAUCUCUGGUGAGGAAUGAUUUGCUUUUGGCCAGGAUGAGCAUGCUAGGAUAUGCUAAAGGAUAUGCCACAAUUAAUCAGCUGUUAGGAAUAAGAGAAUAAGAAAAGCUUGGUACAGAAAGAACAUCCCCCAUUCAUAUACACGUCACAAAAACAGUGCAUCCAGAGGUUGUGUUAAAAAACAAAACAAAACACCACCACAGCACUAAGCACAUGACACAAGAUAUAACUGUUUCAUUCUGCGUCUCCACUCUGUACACAGAGCCAUCAUGCUGUGAUGGGUGACAUGAAGGAAUAACGUAAUUCAACCAGAAUUAUAAGGGGGGAAAAAAAGCUGUUCUCUGGUUAAAGGUGCUAAAAUACAGAGGGGGAAAAAAUUGAGGCAAUUCUCCUGAGUGAAAAGACUCCAGAUGAGAAUGAGCUGCAGGUCAGUGUGUGAAAGUGCCUUCCACUUCACCAGACACAAAGAGAACACAAAGACAUAAUAGAAACCAUAAAAGGUAUAAAAGAGUUAGCGCAGAGAUUGGAGAACGUCAGUGCUGAUUACCGUGAUGAAUUUCAACCACACGUUCUACUAAAAACAUCCCCACGUACCGGUCACCUGAAGAUUUCUUCUAACACCAAACAAUUCCCAAACAAAGCAUGGCUGGGGUCUAGGAGCUAGACUUACUUCUGACUUUCACAAAAUGAAUAAAAAAUGUAUACGUUUGUUUAAACAUAAGACUUUCCAACGUGUUUGAUACUGUGGUGUGGCUACUCUUUGACAAAUCCCACCACCUGCUGCACUACGCACACGGUCUAGAUGUUGGAAGGAGCUAUUUAAAUUAGGCGUUAAAAGGUCGGUUUUGACUUCUCAGCCGCUCCGAUAACGGACACAACCAGGAAAAACUAUCAUUUGAACUAUAGAACCAAUCGUUCCAGCAGUCAGUUACAACGUCAGUCCACAACGUCCGUCACGGGAGCGGCUGAGAAGGGUCCGCUGUCAUUAUACGGUACGAGAGCGGCCUCUAGAGGAGAAAUAAAAACCAUCGCUGACCAAUUUUGUUGUGAUAUUCAAAGUGUUCUUUAAUUCAUUUCGGAUGUCUCCAUUUUGUAUUUCUUAUUUUGGAGUGUUACUUUUCGGUUCAGUUUGGAUGUAUAUCUUUUAUUUACUUUAAAGUUUAUUAGUAGUUAAUAUAUAUUCAUAUUUAUUUCAUUUUAAAAACAGUACAGUACAUUUUCAUGGUACGGUCAGUACUGUUUAUUUCUGUAAUAAAGUUUGACAAUAUUUUACUUGGAGUUUUAUGUUUUCAUUCAGUACCAGUUUUAAAAACCAUCGGUUGAUUAAUCGGUUCUCGGCAGGUAGGUACCGCCCGACUUAUCUAUCGGUAAAAUCCACCAUCACUCGAAAUUUAUAAUAGCUUGAACGAAUGCCAGAAAAUAUCUGCAGAAUCAGGAAUAAGCCAAACCGUUAGCCUUUUUGCAUUUUCAAUCGCGAGUACAAACAAGAUGCUUCAUCACCAGAGAUAUUAUCUGAGAGAAUAAAGACUAUAGCUACAUAAAUUUACCCCUCACAGGGAUUCAAGUACUCACUCAUUUUCCAUAACCUGCACGGAUGCUUUAAUUAGCUCUUCACAUUUAGUACGUUAGUUGUCACUUUCCAGGCAUGUUAAUUGGACUUCAGGACAAAGGCAACAUCAGGCAGUCCAUCAGAGCUUUCACUUGGACUAGCUAAUGACUUGUCCACCCAUGCAUGGCAUGACGGACAUAUCCGAAAAGGCAGAGUUUCACACUUCAGGCAUGAGGGACUUGGAAAGAGUGCGAGUGCGCAUCAGACAGAGGAAAUAGUACAUGGCACACUAAAAGGCAGUUUAUAUACAGUACAUAAUUAAUUCGAAGUCAACAUACACAGAUUGUAGGAAAGGAAGCAGCCUCAUCAUUUUGCUGCAUGAUGGUAGUAACAUACCAAUAACACAAUAAGAACAGCUAUAUUGGCAGCCUGUAGCGAUUUAGACUCUAUAUUUCUACAAAUAGAGGCUCAGUGGGUAAAAAAGGUCUAUCCAAAACUAGGAUUACGGUGUAUACGGAGUUUCAAAUGUUCUCAGUGUCCAUGUGUGGUUUCCUCCUAAAAACAUGACAGACUGGCGACUCUAAACUUGUCCCUAGGUGUGAAUGAGCAUGUGUAUAGCAUGGUGUGCUGUGCUGUGAUGUGUUCAGUGCUUCAGCUUUAAAAAAAAAAAAUAAUAAUAAUAAUAAUAAAAAAAAAUUAUCAGACGGGUUUCAGUUUUGGUAUUGGAAAAAAGGGACUUCAUGUCGUCUCUAAUAGUAAUCGGGGUAUAACCCCGAUGUCCUGGUGAAAUUGGCCCAUCUCUAUCAUGGCCCCCUAAUAAUCCCCAUCUCUGAACUGGCUACAUCAGUCUCUCCUCUCCACUAUUAGCUGGCGUGUGGUGGGAGUUCUGACGCACUGUAGCUGCCCUCACAUCAUCCAGGUGGAUCCUACACAUUAGUGGUGGUUCAGGAGGUCCCCUAAUCUCUGAGUGUCUAGAAAAGUACUAUAUAAAUGUAACUGUAACUAACUAACUUUAAGAUCAUUACCUCAUUUGAAGCAAUUUCUGACGUAAUCCUUUUAAGAGCUUGUUUAUAAUAAUAAUAAUAAUAAUAAUAAUAAUAAUAAUAAUAACAACAAUUAACUAAUGAUGGGGUGGCUGUCGGUUCUAUUCCCGGCCCACGUGACUCCACAUACCGAAGCGUCCUUGGGUAAGACACUGAACCCCAAGUUGCUCCUGAUAGCAAGUUAGCGCCUUGCAUGGCAGCUCUGCUACCAUUGGUGUGUGUGUGUGUGUGUGUGUGUGUGUGUGUGAAUGGGUGAAUGAGACCCAGUGUUAAUUGCUUUGGAUAAAAGCGCUAUACAAGUGCAGACCAUCAUACCUGCAAACAACCCCAUUUAAAUAGGAGGUCAAGUCCUAGUUUCUGCGGGUGAUUACGGGACACGUGAACGACUCUGCAAGGUUCCGUGUGGUUUGUAGGUCUUGUGGGAAACAUGACAGUGUUAUGACGCUCUCAAUUUUGACACAAAAACCUUGAACUAGUUCUCUUAAAAACACAUCUGGCACAGAGCUGGUGUAGACAUUUUUGCGAGGGUUUUCCCCCCCCGAGACGGUCUACAGUCAGCGUACCACCGAAUACAAUUUGACGCUCUGCUUUUGAACGUGAUGCACAAUAAACUUCCUGAAAACACGUACGCUCAAUCUUUACAACUACUGAUAACUCUUGAUAUCAUUUUAGUUGUGAUAUUUCACAUUCUUCAUUCAUUAACUACUGUGUCCUGGCGACGGUCGAAAAAACGCUGGGGGCAAAGUGGGAACGCAUGCUGGAGAGCUGACACACACUCAUUCAUUCACACAUAGGGGCAUAUUACUAUAGUCACUCCACCUACAGCAUGUUUUGGGAUGUUGGAGAAAACAUGGAGAACACGUGAAACUCGGCACAAGCGGUAACCCGAGCUCGGGAUCGAAACGCGGAACCGUGACACAGCAACGCUAUCCGCUACAGCACCGUGCUCUCCUGCUCAUGUUCUAACUCUGACGCAUCUCUCAGCCUGACCGAGAGGGUCAGGUUAAAACAUUGAAUCCUUUCUCAUGGUUCUUUGAAAAUCUUGCCGAUGCCGAUUUCGUGAUGUGCUUUCGAUUGACGUCUUGCUGCAUGAUAUAUUUCACUUUUACCUUACAAGACCACCUUGUCUACUCAGUGUGGCUCAAGGUCCCUUUCCAGAACCUUCACACUAACUGUCCCUCAUUGGUGGAAUGAACUUCCAACCUCAAUCCGGACCGCAGAAUCUGUCACUAUCUUCAAAAAAAAAACAGCUCUAGACCCACCUCUUCAGUGAACACCUAACUAACCUCUAAAACGCCAACCACACGUUAUCCUAAAUAUAAAUAAAUAAAUUUAAAAAACACCUACUCUGGCUAUUACACCUCUACUCUGCGCACUUUGCUUUUCUAGACCUCAAUUACAAAUAUUGUACAGCAGCACUGCUUGUAUCGUUCUCCACUUGAUAUAUCGCUUUGCUUGUAUUUCCUCAUUUGUAAGUCGCUUUGGAUAAAAGCUUCUGCUAAAUGAAUAAAAGUAAAUAUAAAGACCAAAAUGUAAAACAGAAAUAUUUUCAUUUUCACCCAGAACCCAGGGCGUCCAGACUUUUGCACUCGACUGUAAGUGCGUCUGUAACGUAUACAACGUAACACCGUGUAUCUGUAUCCGUCUAUUCACAAUGUAAAGUAUUCAGACCCACUUGUUUUUUUUCCCCCACACAUAAUGACAAAGUGAGAAAAAAAUAAUACAAUUUUGUUUUUGGUAAAUUUCAAUUUAAAAAUCAAACCCUUUGCCCGCAGUCUGAUUUCGUGUGCACUUUGGAGCAGGUUUUCUUCAGCUGCAUUCAUACUUCCCUUCAAUUCUUAUCAGUCUUUCUGUCCCUGCCAUUGAGAAGUACCGCUAUAGCACGAUGCUUCCACCACCGUGCUUCACCGUAGGGAUGGAAUUCGUCACUUGAUGCGUAAUACCUGGUUUUUGUCAGUUGUAGUGCUUGGAGGUCAACCCAAAGAUUUUAGCUUUUGUCCCAUCAGACCGGAAACUCUUUCCCUUCAUGCUCUUAAGUACAUGCCAUAUGCCUUUCACGCAGGAGUGGUUUCCACUUAGCCACUCUAAGUCACUUCUGAAGCUCUGAUAGUGGGCAUUGUGUUCUCAGUGACUUCCCUUGGUGACCUUACUCCCCGAGUUUAGCCAGACGGACAGCUCCUGGUGGUUUAAAAGGUCUUCCAUCUCACAAUGAUGGAGGCAAGUUGUGGCAAGUUUCCAAGCUUUGGAAAUGGUUUUAUACCCUUACCUAGAUCUUUGUCUCGGCACAGUUUGAUUGCGGAGGUCUAUGGAGAGUUCCUUGGACUUCAUGGCUUGGUUUUUGGUCUGAACAUACACUGUGCACUGUGGGACCUUUUAUACACACACACACACACACACACACACACACACACACACACCUGUGUGCCUUUCUAAAUCUCCAAAUCUUAGAUUUAGAGUGCCUCAGCCAAGGGUCUGAAUGCUUAGUUAAAUUAGAUAUUAUAUUAUAUUUAUUUAUUUAUUUUAAACGUGCAAAAAUCUGUCAUUAUGGAUUACUACUUGUAGCUUAUUUGGCCAAAAAUGAAAAAUUCAACACAUUUUAAAUGAAAUCUUUAAACAAACGUGCAAAAAAGCGAAGGGGUCUGAAUACUUUCCGAACCCACUGCGCAUGUUGGAUCAGACAGUGCACGUGUAUACAGUUGAGGUCAUGAAGUUUACAUACGCCUUGCAGAAUCUGCUAAAUGUUUGUUUAUUUAUUUUUAAUUAAGAAUCAUUACAACUAUUAGAAAAGGGGCAAACCUUCACUGAUUCUCCAGAACACAACACGGUACAUUAUGAUCCGGGGGGUGUAAACUUUUGAACAGAAUGUCUGUUGUAAAUUGUUAUUAUUUUGUCUUUUGGGAAACAGGUAAAUAUCUAAUGUAGCGUCUGAAGGGCAAGCUUAACCAAAAUAAUAGAUUUAUAAUAAUAUUUCUUUUUAAAUGAUUAACAUUUUGCAGAUCCUGCAAGGCGUCUGUAAACUUAUGACCUCAACUCUAUACAGACAGACAGAUCGGUAGACAGAGAGAGACAGAGAGAUAAGCAGGCAGACAGACAGACAGAUAGGUAGAUAGACAGAUAGAGAGAGAGACAGACAGAUAGGUAGUUAGACAGAGAGAGUGAGAGAGAGACAGAGAUAAGCAGGCAGACAGACAGAUAGGUAGAUAGACAGAGAGAGAGACCGACAGAUAGAUAGGUAGAUAGACAGAUAUAGAGAGAGACAGACAGAUAGGUAGUUAGACAGAGAGAGAGACCGAGAUAAGCAGGCAGACAGACAGAUAGGUAGAUAGACAGAUUCAUAGAGAUAGGCAGACAGAUAGGAAGACAGACAGAGAGAUAGGCAGAGAUAGAUAGACAGAUAGAGAUAGGCAGACAGACAGGUAGAUAGACAGAGAGAGAGCUAGAGAGAUAGGUAUACAGACAAAUAGAUAGGUAGAUAGACAGACAGAGAGAUAGACAGACAGGCAGGCAGGCAGACAGACAGACAGACAGACAGUGAGACAGGCAGAUAGAUAGAUGGAGAGACAGACAGAUAGAGAUAGGCAGACAGACAGGUAGAUAGACAGAGAGAGAGCUAGAGAGAUAGGUAUACAGACAAAUAGAUAGGUAGAUAGACAGACAGAGAGAUAGACAGGCAGGCAGACAGACAGGCAGACAGACAGUGAGACAGGCAGAUAGAUAGAUGGAGAGACAGACAGAGAGAUGGAUAUCAUCUUGUGUGUGUAUGUUGGUGUUAUACUUGUUGACACUCAGUGUGAUGUGUGCUCGGUGGCAGGCCUAGUGUCCUUCAUCUACCUCACUAGACACCCCCCCCACCCCACCCCCACGCCUCCGAGGACUUAAAUUCACUAUUCUAAACUCUCAGAAACGACUCAACACGGCCGAAAAAGAAAGAGCUGUCAAUCUGUAAACAAUCUGGGAUGUGGCCACUUGUGCCUGUUGUUUAUAAACCAAAAAAUAUGAAACAUCCCCACUUUAAUAAUCUGUCCGGCAUCAUAACACACGGGAUUUAUAAACAUUUAUAGUUGGGAUUAAAUGUUGGAGAAUUAACACUAGUCGCCCUCAGUCCUCAGUCCCCAGUACUCAGUACUCAGUCACGGAGCUGCUGCUGCUGCUGUGUGUCGCCUCCAUGACUGCAACCUAACAGAAGAAAAGUCUACACGCGAUUACACACAGCACGCACUUCACGCGCUCCAUAUCAACGCACAUCCAUGACUCUCCUACCUGCGGGCUGUCCUGUAGAGCUUCCUCUAGCAGUAAUUUGUGUACGGCCGGCAUCUUGCUGACGAAUGAUGGUGCUUUAAUUAUUUAAGAUGUAGGACUCGGUUCUCCAGAAUGCACUGCACGGCUGGGUGGGAGAAGGGGGUGGGGCUUGUUCGUAUGGGCGGUGCUUAUAAACACACCUCCACGAUACUUUUAUUUUCAGAAUCAUUUUCAUGAUGUUGUUGUUAAUGAUGUUGUUUUAA